AACCAUAACAUUCUUGCCAGUUCUAUUUUAGGUUCUAAUCUCACUCAAGGCCAACUGAGACUUAGUCCCCUUUUAUGACAGACACGUGUCAGUCACCAACGAAAUAUCUUGACAAGCACGUGAAGGACCCCGAAAGCAGAAGAUUCUAAACCACCUGAAAUUUUCAUCCCCAAGUACACACGAACCGAAAAACCAAUUACCUAGAAAAACUUCCAGUUUUAAAGUUGGAGUAACUGAAAGAAAAUGGAGGGAGAGGGGGAAGGAACAGUGAGAGAGCGUUCAAUUUCACCAACUAGAGCCCGACCCGGAUCCGACCCGUUCCUGGUGACUUGUAGAGUGUUCAGCUUUGUUACUGCCUUGGCUGCUAUUCUCUGCAUUGCUGUUAAUGUUUACUCUGCCGUGAGAUCAUUUAAGCAUGGUUAUGACGUAUUUGAUGGAAUUUUCCGCUGUUAUGCCGUGUUGAUUGCAAUUGUUGUGGUCGUUGCGGAGACCGAGUGGAGCUUUUUCAUAAAGUUCUGGAAGGUGUUGGAGUUUUCAGCUGGAAGGGGCAUGCUACAGAUCUUCGUUGGAGUGAUGACCAGAGCUUAUCCUGAAGUAUAUGGGCAAAGGAAUGACCUCAUUCUUCUCCAGAACAUAGCUAGCUACUUUCUUAUUGCCUGUGGUGCAGUUAACAUUAUAUCAGUAAGUUCAGGAAACCAUCAGGUUGCUACAUGGCAAUCUCUUGUCUGUCAGGUCCUAUACUGUUGUAGCUUGUAGUUGAUAUGACACAAUCCGUAAGAAGUAUGAUGCGUGACCUUGCUUCUCUUGAUCGGGAUUGUUGUGCUUUGGAUUUAUCAAACGUGCACGCCAGGAGAAAGAAGUCUCCAGGGAGCAAGCGAUUCAGGAUCUGCAGGAAUUGGAGCGUCGUAGAGAAGAGCUAGAAGCACUGUUGAUACAAGAGAGGGCUUGAGGACAUAGAGCUGAUAUUAUGCUAC